rnacentral:rRNA from 1 species
CAGUCGCCACGGGAAUACGUAGGGGGCAAGCGUUAUCCGGAUUUACUGGGUGUAAAGGGAGCGCAGACGGCCAAGCAAGUCUGAAGCGAAAUGCAUGGGCUCAACCCAUGAAUUGCUUUGGAAACUGUUAGGCUUGAGUGUCGGAGGGGUAAGCGUAAUUCCUAGUGUAGCGGUGAAAUGCGUAGAUAUUAGGAGGAACACCGGAGGCGAAGGCGGCUUACUGGACGACAACUGACGUUGAGGCUCGAAGGCGUGGGGAGCAAACAGGAUUAGAUACCCCUGUAGUCCCUGUCUCUUAUAC